GGUCCUGUGGCUCAGUCUGUUAGGGCCUGGUUUGUGGAGACCAAGGUCGUGAGUUCAAGUCUUAUGAGAAUCU